rnacentral:rRNA from 1 species
UACGUAGGGCGCAAGCGUUGUCCGGAAUUAUUGGGCGUAAAGAGCUCGUAGGCGGUUUGUCGCGUCUGUCGUGAAAGCUUGGGGCUUAACCCCAAGUCUCCGGUGGAUACGGGCAGACUAGAGGCAGGUAGGGGAGAACGGAAUUCCCGGUGUAGCGGUGGAAUGCGCAGAUAUCAGGAGGAACACCGGUGGCGAAGGCGGUUCGCUGGGCAUUACCUGACGCUGAGGAGCGAAAGCAUGGGGAGCGAACAGG